rnacentral:rRNA from 1 species
UACGUAGGGGGCAAGCGUUGUCCGGAUUUAUUGGGCGUAAAGAGCGUGUAGGCGGCCACACAGGUCUGCUGUGAAAACUCGAGGCUCAACCUCGAAAUGUCGGUGGAAACCGUGUGGCUAGAGUCCGGAAGAGGAGAGUGGAAUUCCCGGUGUAGCGGUGAAAUGCGCAGAUAUCGGGAAGAACACCCGUGGCGAAGGCGGCUCUCUGGGACGGUACUGACGCUGAGACGCGAAAGCGUGGGGAGCGAACAGG